ACAAACUUGUUUCGUAUGACAAGCAAUGCUUGCCGCACUCAUCAGGUGAAUUUAAAAUUCAACUGAUGAGUGUGGCAAGCAUUGCUUGUCAUACGAAACAACUUUGUAG